rnacentral:rRNA from 1 species
UUUAAUGAGAGUUUGAUCCUGGCUCAGGACGAACGCUGGCGGCGUGCCUAAUACAUGCAAGUAGAACGCUGAGGUUUGGUGUUUACACUAGACUGAUGAGUUGCGAACGGGUGAGUAACGCGUAGGUAACCUGCCUCAUAGCGGGGGAUAACUAUUGGAAACGAUAGCUAAUACCGCAUAAGAGUAAUUAACACAUGUUAGUUAUUUAAAAGGAGCAAUUGCUUCACUGUGAGAUGGACCUGCGUUGUAUUAGCUAGUUGGUGAGGUAAAGGCUCACCAAGGCGACGAUACAUAGC